rnacentral:rRNA from 1 species
GACGAACGCUGGCGGCGUGCUUAACACAUGCAAGUCGAGCGGUAAGGCUCCUUCGGGAGUACACGAGCGGCGAACGGGUGAGUAACAUGUGAGUAAUCUGCCCUUCACUUCGGGAUAACCACCGGAAACGGUGGCUAAUACCGAAUACGACCAGUCUUCGCAUGAGGUGCUGGUGGAAAGUCUUUUCGGUGAAGGAUGUGCUCGCGGCCUAUCAGCUUGUUGGUGGGGUAAUGGCCUACCAAGGCUUCGACGGGUAGCCGGCCUGAGAGGGUGACCGGCCACACUGGGACUGAGACACGGCCCAGACUCCUACGGGAGGCAGCAGUGGGGAAUAUUGGACAAUGGGCGAAAGCCUGAUCCAGCAACGCCGCGUGAGGGAUGACGGCCUUCGGGUUGUAAACCUCUUUCAGUACCGACGAAGCGCCCUGUCGGGUGGUGACGGUAGGUACAGAAGAAGGACCGGCCAACUACGUG